rnacentral:tRNA from 1 species
UCCCGUGUGGCUCAGUUGGUAGAGCAUGGUGUUUGCAAUGCCAGGGUUGUGGGUUUGAUUCCCGCCGGGGGAC